rnacentral:rRNA from 1 species
GGCGGUACGGCAGCUAUACAUGCAAGUCGAGCGGACCGACGGGAGCUUGCUCCCUUAGGUCAGCGGCGGACGGGUGAGUAACACGUGGGUAACCUGCCUGUAAGACUGGGAUAACUCCGGGAAACCGGGGCUAAUACCGGAUGCUUGAUUGAACCGCAUGGUUCAAUCAUAAAAGGUGGCUUUUAGCUACCACUUACAGAUGGACCCGCGGCGCAUUAGCUAGUUGGUGAGGUAACGGCUCACCAAGGCGACGAUGCGUAGCCGACCUGAGAGGGUGAUCGGCCACACUGGGACUGAGACACGGCCCAGACUCCUACGGGAGGCAGCAGUAGGGAAUCUUCCGCAAUGGACGAAAGUCUGACGGAGCAACGCCGCGUGAGUGAUGAAGGUUUUCGGAUCGUAAAACUCUGUUGUUAGGGAAGAACAAGUACCGUUCGAAUAGGGCGGCACCUUGACGGUACCUAACCAGAAAGCCACGGCUAACUACGUGCCAGCAGCCGCGGUAAUACGUAGGUGGCAAGCGUUGUCCGGAAUUAUUGGGCGUAAAGCGCGCGCAGGCGGUUUCUUAAGUCUGAUGUGAAAGCCCCCGGCUCAACCGGGGAGGGUCAUUGGAAACUGGGGAACUUGAGUGCAGAAGAGGAGAGUGGAAUUCCACGUGUAGCGGUGAAAUGCGUAGAGAUGUGGAGGAACACCAGUGGCGAAGGCGACUCUCUGGUCUGUAACUGACGCUGAGGCGCGAAAGCGUGGGGAGCGAACAGGAUUAGAUACCCUGGUAGUCCACGCCGUAAACGAUGAGUGCUAAGUGUUAGAGGGUUUCCGCCCUUUAGUGCUGCAGCAAACGCAUUAAGCACUCCGCCUGGGGAGUACGGUCGCAAGACUGAAACUCAAAGGAAUUGACGGGGGCCCGCACAAGCGGUGGAGCAUGUGGUUUAAUUCGAAGCAACGCGAAGAAACCUUACCAGGUCUUGACAUCCUCUGACAACCCUAGAGAUAGGGCUUCCCCUUCGGGGGCAGAGUGACAGGUGGUGCAUGGUUGUCGUCAGCUCGUGUCGUGAGAAUGUUGGUAAGUCCCGCACCGAGCGCACCCUGAUCUAGUGCCAGCAUCACUGGGCACCUCUAAGGUGACUGCCCGUGACAAACCGGAGGAAAG